rnacentral:rRNA from 1 species
CCUACGGGCGGCAGCAGUGGGGAAUAUUGCACAAUGGGGGAAACCCUGAUGCAGCGACGCCGCGUGAGUGAAGAAGUAAUUCGUUAUGUAAAGCUCUAUCAGCAGGGAAGAAAAUGACGGUACCUGAGUAAGAAGCCCCGCCUAACUACGUGCCAGCAGCCGCGGUAAUAAGUAGGGGGCAAGCGUUAUCCGGAUUUACUGGGUGUAAAGGGAACGUAGACGGCAGUGCAAGUCUGGAGUGAAAGGCGGGGGCUCAACCCCCGGACUGCUCUGGAAACUGUACGGCUGGAGUGCAGGAGAGGUAAGUGGAAUUCCUAGUGUAGCGGUGAAAUGCGUAGAUAUUAGGAGGAACACCAGUGGCGAAGGCGGCUUACUGGACUGUAACUGACGUUGAGGCUCGAAAGCGUGGGGAGCAAACAGGAUUAGAUACCCUGGUAGUC